GGCACCGAGCAGAGGAGGAAUCCGCGCGCGGCAUGUGGAGCGGACGGGUGUGUUUCAGGCUGGAAAGGACAAGUUCUAACGAAGGGGACACGGAGAACGACACCGCUCGGUGGUUUCCCAGCCUCUUUGACGAUGUUCCCCCCCAACACCCUGCUCAGAUGACUCCAGUACCCCUCCAUCAUCAACAACACUGCCUGUCAGACAUGGUAUGAAGACACGGAGCCCAUAUUGCCUGGGACCAGAGCCAGCUGUGUCAGACGCCGCCACAGAGGGCUAAAAGCAUCCUGGCGAGCUGCGAUGGGACCCGGUGAGGCCUUGGACGCGGGAAGACGUCGCCGCAGCAGCGCUCCCUUUCAGUCGCACCAACUCUAGACGGUAGAGAAGCCCAUUAUCUUGAGAUUGAUGUCCGCUGCGUCGUGGAGGCAGCCUCCAGCUGCGCCGCCAGGUCCGAGACAACCCCAUGGAGGCGUGGCCUCGACGUUUCCAACGCUGCUAACGCCAGCCGAGUGAACAGCGAUGCCUUCUAAGGUCUCCUGCUUGUACUUGCUGACCGUGGUUUGCUGGGCCAGCGCUCUGUGGUACCUGAGUCUGUCACGCCCCUCCUCCUCCGACGGGGGCCAGCUGACCAUCCCCAUACGCAAAACGCCAAAUGCGGGCAAGAACGGCACCUUCAGCAACAUCCGCACGCGCUCGCUCAACCCGCACGACUUCGGCUACCUCAUAAACGAGGCCAAGAAGUGCGAGGCGGAGCCCCCCUUCCUUGUCAUCCUGAUCAGCACCACCCACAAGGAAUUCGACGCCCGCCAGGCCAUCCGGGAGACAUGGGGCGACGAGAGCACGCUCCCGGACGUGCGCGUGGUCACGCUCUUCCUGCUGGGCCGCAGCACCGACGUCGUCCUCAACCAGAUGGUGGAGCAGGAGAGCCAGAUCUUCCACGACGUCGUGGUGGAGGAUUUCAUCGACUCGUACCACAACCUGACGCUCAAGACGCUGAUGGGCAUGCGCUGGGUGGCCACGUUUUGCUCCAAGGCCCAGUAUGUCCUGAAGACGGACAGUGACAUCUUUGUCAACAUGGAGAACCUCAUCUUCAACCUCCUGAAGCCCACCACCAAGCCCAGGAGGAGGUACUUCACCGGCUACGUCAUCAACGGCGGGCCGAUCAGAGACAUGCGCAGCAAGUGGUACAUGCCAAGGGAUCUGUACCCCGACAGCAAGUACCCGCCCUUCUGCUCCGGCACCGGCUACGUCUUCUCGGCGGACGUGGCCGAGCUCAUAUACCAGACCUCUUUACACACCCGGCUGCUGCACCUGGAGGACGUGUACGUGGGCGUGUGCCUCCGCAAGCUGGCCAUCCACCCGUUCCAGAACAGCGGCUUCAACCACUGGAAGAUGGCCUACAGCCUUUGCCGCUACCGCCGGGUGGUCACCGUCCACCAGAUCUCCCCGGAGGAGAUGCACCGUAUCUGGAACGACAUGACCAGCAAGAAGCACCUGAAAUGUUAGCAGGAUUAGCACUAGAGAGUCUAGGGAGGCACGGAAUGGUCCUUAUCGCCGGCGUCUCCGUUAUUGGCAAAUACUGUACCGAGCUGAAGGAGCUGUAUUGACUAAGCAUCCAUGGCUUUGUCCAGGCGCUGAUUGCUUUUCAAGGAGUCUCUAUAGUGCAAGACCAAAGCAGACUCCUCUGUAUUCUGUGUCCUUUCACACUCAGAACUCACAAAACAGCCACAAAGUUGGAAACACAUUUUCCCCCCAAAAAAAAAGAAAAUGUGCAAAAUGUUCAGGUGGUUGGUUGUCGUUGCCAGCAGCACGAUGAUUUUUACAGGAAAAUACCCGACAGGACGCUCAGAGGCUUGUAUCUGAGUACACAAACUGUCCCCGAUUGCUAAAACUGCAGAUUACAGAAACACGUUUCGCCUCUUGGGUCCAUCACGAGCUCUAACCAUGAAUGUCCCUCGUGUUACUUUCAGUUGUCGUGCUUUUCCGAGCGGGGUGUUAAUGUUGGAUGUAGUGUCUGGCGCAGCAGCAGCAGCAGCCGUCGUCAUGGCGAGGACCUUGGGGCCUCUCAGUUUGCAUGACCUCCUCAUGACCCGUCCUCCGAGGCUCCAGAGGAUGCGAGUUUACGGGGGAAAAUGGCCGUGGAAUGAUUCGGCGGCGUGCAAUCUGCCAUCUGUGCCCGGGCGCAGUUAUGCCAAGGUGAGAGAAAGGGGCUCGUCGAGACCAGCUGGGGGAGCCGGCAAACAAUCCUCUUCGUCCUCCAGGAGAAAAGUGGCACGCCGGGAAGCCGUGUGCUGCUUUGAACUCGGCCUGGAGGGGUUUUGGGGGUCUGCUGGAUGUUCUUUUGUUGCUCGAUAACUGACUGGGAUGUCUGGAGGUAGGUGCAGUUGUGUCUAAGUGUGUGAAUGUCGACACGUACGUUCAGAUUUCUUACGUUUUUGAUUGCUUUAAAAAAGGUUGAAUUGUAUUUCGCAUUACGUGUGUUUUUUGUAUUUUUCCGUGAUGUCUCACUCUUUUUAUACAAACGAGGCAAAAAUAAAAAUUACGAGGUGAACAAAUUAAAGACAUUUUAACAACCUCCCUCCAGAAUAUGACAUGAAAACCACAUUCAAGGAUCCCUUUAAUAUAAUUUACUUUCAUACAGAUUCAUUAUAAAAUCUGUACUACGGCUGUAUUAUCACAUACUUCUCCCUCAUUCUGUUCAGGAAGUCUGUUUGGAGAAAUAGCUGAAACCACAAUUGCCCCCCCCCCGUCUAGACCGCACACAGACGCAUUUUUCACUUACACACAUCCAUGAAUUCCCGCUCAUUUUAAUUUAUGCAGAUGUAUCCAUCGGCAAAGAGUGUGAAUCGGUGCAACCACGAGACGUCGUUGAGCAUAGAGUCAUAAAUGAGCACAAACAAUGUUAGGCUGAUGGGUCGAGCAGUAUGCAAGAUUAGCCGUGGACAGACGGACGGACACACACGCACAUAAUCUCCUUGCAGAGAUAAUAAACUUCCGUGGGACCUCUACCACUCAGAUCAAUAUUAGAUGUAUCUUGUAUUAUGCAUUCAUCGAUUCAUUUCAAUUCUGUUCACGUUAAGUUUUGACUCAAGGUUCUCAACGAGCACAGCGUCAGUCAGCAGUCGCUAGUUCUCCCCCCGGAGGAAGCAUGGCAGUGAGAGCGAUAUUUACUUGCCACUCAAAGGUGAAACCCUGACGCAGCUCAGCGAUUAAAAGCACAGAAGCUAUUAAUCUUUGUCCCGUCUGCCGCUCUCCAAACAUUUGAUAAAUAUACAGCAAACACAAGUCGAUUUUGGACGUCGGCGUGCCUCUGAGACUCAACAUUCAAAUUUGUUGUGAGAUUACUUCUCUGCAAAAACAAAUCAAUGGCAGUGGGGCAGAAUAAGCUCCAGACUUAUGCUUCCUGUUGUGUUGGCCUUUGCAAUUGCAAUCCUUUCAUAUUUAUUCCCAAAGUCUAGAAAUACAGAAUUUGACUUCCCGUUGAUGUAAUACGAGGACACUAAACCCUCGUUGUCUUAAUUAGAGUUAAGUGAAAUGAAGCUGCCGAGGCCUGAAGCUUCGUUGCAAGAUACUUUUGGGAAAACGGUUAAUUAGCUAUAAUGUUGCAUGUACUCAAAGAACCGAAUCAGACUGCCCUCCAAAACAUCAACUCUUUUUACAGUUGAAAUUCAGGAUUCUUAAUCUCUGACGGCCAAUUCUCCAACGUGAGAUCAACACAGACGUCUGUGGAAGGUCUGAAGUGGUCUCACGACAACAGAACCUCGUACAUUUUGUUGCUGUAAUUGGUGAGCUUCAGAUGCUUUCCCUGUUUUCAGUUGUUAUGCUAGGCUACGCUAAUUGUCUCCUGGCUCUACCCUGUUGAACACACGGAGACGUGAGAGUUGUAUCAAUCUUCUCCUCUAACUCCCGGCUACGAAGUGCAUGCAUUUCCUAAAAUAUUGAACUAUUGCUUCAUCAUAUUUGACAGCCACUCCCAAGCGUCUCUUUCUUCCUCACUGCCCUGUGUGAAGAGCCUCUUGGUCUUUUUCACUGGGUCAUUUAUUCCAAUAUAGUUCCAACAACUCACUGCGCUAAAGGCUUUUAACGUUGAUUUAUCGGGCUUGGUCUCGUUCUUUACACCUGGAAUAGAGAUCCGGAUUACCUCUGUCCACGCAGUUGCACUUAAAUGCUAUUGUGAGUUGAUUGGCUCAUUUUGGGGUGUAAUUAAUCUCUAUUAAAACCACAUCCAUCUCACUCCGUACCUGAACCCUCUCACUGCGCCUCAGAACACAAACCCUGGGGAAUGUGCCUGAAGAGACGGUGAAAAAUAAAGAGUUUAAAAGACAGAAAAACAAUUCACUCGUGACACGUAGAGGUGAUUCACAAGAGUAAUGGCAGGCUGUGUUUUCUCUUUAACUGCAUACCUGUCUGCUUCUAGCCUCUCCCUUUCUGAGCCCCGUCUCUCUCUGUCUCUGAUAAUCUGAGCUGGUCUUAAGCCUCCAUCUAAAUUGUACUCCCCCCCCCCCCCCCCCCCCCUCCGUCUGAUUCCGUCCUCACUGCGAGGCCCGAGAAAUCCUCAGCAGAUGACUGAGACUGUUCGUCUGUCUCCGUGCUGCUGACAGACAACACGGCGUUCAACGUGAAAACAAGGCUAUUUCGAGCAGAGAUGGAAUGCAUGAAUUUAUAGACGGAGUGUGUGUGUGUUUGUGUGUGUGUGUGAGAACCUCACAGACAUUUUUCUUUGCACUUGUUUGACAUUGUUUUCCGAAACCUGUCAACACGGAAUGCUUUGUUGAGAACAGCGUGGAGGGAAAUGCGAGCGUUUUGUGCCUGUCGCGCUGCUUUUAUCCUCGAGACGUUCACACACGCACGCUGCACACGGAUACGCAUCGGGAAAUAAGUUCCUGUUGAUCUGGAUCGCACAGCAGCCAUCUUACAUUUAAAUUUAACACACUAGUAGUUAAAUUUAGCACGGUAGAGAGAACAACCAAGUAUAAGUAUACAAACGUACCGAAUAGCUACAUGAAAUACCACUUUCUUGACCAAAGUUACUUUAACUUUCGACAAGUUAACACAAAUUCAGAGAUAAUUCAAUCAGGCGGAAUACCACCAUGAACAAUAGUACUUAAGUUCAGUACUUGGUUAAUUAUGCACUUAGUUACGGUACAUUCCACCUCAAACGUUGGCCUGUCUGACACUUUAUGAAUGCUGUUGCAUGCUAAACUCUCAUAAAUUCAUUUGGUGAGAUCCCAAAAUGACAGAACUGAGGUCAAACAUGUUCAGCAACUGAAUCUCCACUGAUCCGAUUAGUUUUUUAAGCAAUUCCCUUUCUGGACAUGAUGCCGUGCCACUCCGCCUGACCUCGUGUAAUCACGUCAGCUCCUCUCUCUCCACCAUUCUGGACCGAUAAGCUCGCGCUGUUUGCAGGCCUCUCCCCGUCCGUCACGCGAAUCCAGGCCGGGAACACGGCUAAAACAUGACUGACAGCGUGCAGCAAGAGUAGAUGAAAAAAUAAAAAAAAUCCCGCGCGGGGUCAAGGCUAGCUUUGCGGAAAGAAUAAUCAAUCACACCUCAGGUGUCCGGGAGAUUAACAGCUGCCAUUAUUCAUACUGGACUCCAGGUGCUCCGUGUUGACUGGAGGACUGGAUAGCAUCACCUCCACGGAGACAGCCCAUAAAAGUUUUUAGCCAUAAUCAAGCGGCAAAAUCGAUUCAACAAAGUGCUGCUACUCGGAGAAGUGAAGGUGGGGGGGCUCAAUUACCCAGCAUGCCGAGGUCAGAUGUGUAAAGGGGGAAACGCAAGGUCAAGCGUUGCAUUAUAUCUUCUCCCUCACUCCUAUCACUUCCAAUUUACUAAAUACAAGAGCGCUGUUCUUUCCUCCUCGAGCUCCGGAAGAUAAUCGACAAUGAAAUUAGGUGUCGGCGGGAUGGGGGGGGUGUGGAGGAUGUGACGGCUCGGGGCAGAUGGGAGAUAAUCGCAGGACACAAUAACUGGCAGCCAGGAGAAUCUGCCCCCGGGGACCUUCUUCAUGGUCGUAAUGAGCGUAACCUUGUCUGGCUCGGUGAAGAAAGUCAAAUACGUGCGCGCUAGCAUUUACUUUGGGUACGUGGACGCCCGUAAAUAAAAGCUCAAUAACAUCCCCGCUCUCUCACACUUAACGGAAGCUCAACUCCCCCCCACCCAGAGCAGUAUUGACUCACACACACACACACAUGGAAGGAGUGUACACCUCCCCAAUCAUGACAAAUCAUCCUUUUUCCACUGGCUGUCUCACCUCAGGGGCCUGUGACAACAGCGUCAGCCCAGAUGAGGGAGAAGGCUCACCGGCGUGGAGUCAUUGAACACGGCGACCUGCUUUGACUUUCAUGUUACCGGCGCUGCUUUAUUUCAUUUUUGUCCCGCUGAUUGAACAAAGUCUCUCAGAUCAUGACUUUAAUCAUCCCAGUUCAUCUUCUUUUCUUUUUGUGUAAGGGGGGGGGGGGAGGGGGUAGCUGAACAGCCGGCAAAUUGAAGCAGUUUAAUCUCAAACUUUGUGUGACACUGAGUUUCAAUGUUUUGACAUGUAUUGCUUUUUUUUUUAUUCUUGCAAUUGCAAAUUCAGGAUAACAGUAAUCAGUCCUUCCUCUGCAUUGCAUUGUGGUCUACGGAGACCGUGUCUACGUGUGAGACAUUGGUAUCUUUGCCUGUGGGACUGUCCAUCGCCGGAGCAGAGUGAUGCAUCUAAAGAGAAUACUCAAUGGGACUGAUGCUCACCUUUGUGUGAGACAUAGAGUGACCUAAAAGGAAAGCAUAUCCUCAACAUUAAUCUAAAAAUCCAAACGUAUAUUUUCUGUAUUGCAGGUCGUCACCAACAGCUGUUCUCUCUGCUGGAUCUUCUGGCUCUCCACAUUUUGAAAACCCUCUGAUGGUAAGCAGCUGCGCUGUACUGUGAUGGGAAGCGUGUGGAUUCCACACACGGUGACGGCGCUGAUCAGAGUUUGAUGAGGCGUACCUUCUCGCUCUCCGUGUCCAGGGCGGAGGUGGCCUCGUCCAGGAGCAGGAUCUUGGGGUCGCGUAUGAUGGCCCUGGCGAUGGCGAUGCGCUGCUUCUGACCGCGAGACAACUGAGAACCCUGGGCACCGACGUUGGUGUUGUAUUUCUGGAGGCAGGAGGAAAAAUGAUGGUGAGUCAUAUCUCAAUGCAGUACCAGCAACCGACAUUUUUAAUAACCUGUUAGCCGUGUAAACACCGAAAAAACCCAUCGAGCCGAAGAGCCAUAGACGAAUUCUAUAGUAAUUCCUUUCUAGUUAAUGUUGUAGAUGGGCCUCUGCGUUUGAGUCCUCGCCACAGACAGUCCACACCAACUGUCCACAGUACCUCAGGAAGCGACAUGACAAAGUCGUGGAGCUGGGCCUUCUUGGCGGCAGAGAUGACCUCAUUCAGGCCGAUUUCCCGCGAGUUGUCGCCGUACUUGAUGUUCUCCUCGAUGCUGCAGUCAAACAGGAUGGGUUCCUGGGACACGAUGCCAAUCUUGGAGCGCAGGAAGGGCACGUUGACGCGGGUCGAGACGUGGCCAUCAAUCAGCUGCAGGAAGCAAUUGAUUUUACCAUUAGGAGAAAGCAAUGUAAUAACCAAAGACUGGAAAUACAAUCCACUUAAUGAGCCAUCACGACACCAUCUCUGCCGUGAUUUCUCUCCCAACUAUGCAGAGGUGACACUGUCCUUUUUAAAUCUCAAACAGGGAAUCAGGACUCGGCGUUUCCAAACCACUUCCAACUCAAUUAAGGCCAUUUGAAUGUUUGGCAGGGAUCCCUUACUGGCACAAAGGCAAACCUCCAUCCUGGGUGGAGGGCCUCCUUUUUUUAAUAUAAAGCACAAAGUCAGCAUAAAUGUCUGAUUUCACUACAACUGAGCCUCGUGAGAGUGGAGCUGAAAGAAGACUAUACAUACGACUCAUUUCAUCACAAGAUACCUGACAUGUUGAUAAAGGGCAGCACUGAAUUUAACUAAACCUUGUGUAAAAUCAGAGCCCCUUUAAGAUUAACAAUAAAAAGUAAAAACUAUAUUUUCCCUCCAAUUGCGAUUAUUAAGUAGCAUAACAUAAGGCACUUUGCAUUCAAAGUGCAUCUGCAGCGCGUCCUCACCACUCGGCCGUGGUCGGGAUCAUAGAACCUCUCCAGCAGCUGCACGCUGGUGCUCUUCCCGCAGCCGCUGCUGCCCACAAAGGCCAGCGUCUGGCCGGGCUUCACCGACACGUUCAGCCCAUUCAGGACCUGGAUGUCUGGCCUGGUGGGGUAGGUGAACUUGCAGUCAAUGAACUCGAUGUUCCCUUGGAAGUUUUCCUGAAAACACAGCGGAGGGAGGGAGAGGGGGGGGAGACAGAACAAAGGUUAUAGGUUCCUCCGUGUGUUAGGGUUCCUCCUGUCCACCUCCUCUGGUAAUAGAGUUUCAUUUCACUCAAUUGUCUUUUGCAGGUUUUUUAUUAUUCAAAAUGCAUCUUUUAAAGGGCUCUGUGGAGUGUAUUCUUCUUUUGCAUGUACAAUAUUUGAUAGAAGGACUAACAAUCCUUCCUUGUCUCCUCCAUCUACACAUCUCUCUUUCAUGACUAAUGCAAAAUUAAUGAGCAAAGCAAUAAAGGAAUAAUAAAUUAGACUUUUCAUCGUGGAGAGAGCAUGCAGCACUCAUUUGUUUUUCAUAUGCUCAGCGUGCAAUGUGGUGGAAUAGCAGAUAAUACGUAGCAUAACAUAUGCCCUCGUACCCAUUUAUCUCCCUUAUCGCUGUAGACACUGAUCUGAGGCACGCGGUCCAGCAGCUGGAAAAAACGUGCCGCUGAGAUCUUGGCCUUGGCGUAGUCUGGCGUGUAAGAGGAGGCUCUGCCGAGGGCCGUGCCGCUGGUGACGAUGGCUGAGAUGACCCUGCCAGAGAAGCCAACAUAAUGUACCUAAUUAUUAAUAAUCACCUCCCCUGGAACAGUGAUUUAUGAGAAAAAUAAUGCGUUUUUUAAACAUUAAAGCAUGUAAACAUGACCGAGUACAAAGCCAAAAUACAAGUAUGACCCUGGAAUUAAGCAUUAUACGUAUGUCCCCUUUAAGUUUGGAUUAAACAGCAGUCAGGAUGAGGAAGCACACAGAAUGGCACCAGACCCGACAGCCUUCUCCUCUCACCUGAACACCAAGCUGAAGUGGAGCCCCUCCUGUCGCACCAAGUAGCCUCCGAACCUGUAGGAGGCGGAGUUGGUCAAAAAGAUGACGCACUGGGCGAACCCAUAGCAGGCCCCGUACACUUUCGCCUUCUUCAGGGCUGCUUGGUACGGGGCGUCUAGCUGGGCCUCGUACAUGUCCACAAAAA